rnacentral:lncRNA from 1 species
GUCUUGAACCGGCUCCAUUUGGGCCCGUUAUUGUGUGAAAUGAAUGGACCGCGGGGUGGGGGGCAUAGUGAAAGGGCAGCGAUGCAUCGGGCCAACCAAUAAAAGAACAGGGGGCGGGAUAUUUUAUCCUUGCAGGUUCUUUGGGGCUUUGCAGCCGAAGAAUUUGACUGGCAAGUGUAUAGGCCAAUUGGGUCUGCCUUGAGCUGCCGAAUGACCGGCGCUUGGGCCAUCGGAAUGUGGGAGGCGGGUUUUUCCCUCCUGAGCAGCGUCUUACUGAGCCAAUGAGCACGAAGCGCGCGGUAGGUUGGCCUUCUGCAAGAGGCAGCGGUUUGACUCCAAUGGGGAGCGCGGGAGUCGGGCAGUUAAAUGGAUGGACCGAGUCCGGAGCCAGUAGGUGAACGGGUACUCCAAGAGAGGGAGUUAUCUUAGACUAGGAAUUGUUACUUGGAUUUCAAUACCUGUGAUGGUGCGUGGGAAUGAACAUUUUAUCCAUAGUGACUAACCUAAUGAAAUCUUCAGGUUUCCAUCCCAUACACCUUUUGGGGAAAAUGUUUUCCCCACCUCGGGACAUCAUAUAUCUACCACUUUAGUUUUAGGGAAAACGAGGAGUUUUAGACUUGACUUAUUUGCUUGUUUAGAAGACCGUUAGGAUGGUAGAACAAAUAGGAUAAAUCUUCACGUAUCUUUAUGGAAUGCAUCCAAGAAAAAUCUACAUCAUAAUCAUUUCC